rnacentral:lncRNA from 1 species
AAGCUCAUGAGGCCCUUAUUUAUAGCUGAAUGUAUCUGAAUUCACACUUUGCUCAUGUGCAUGGGAUUUGAAAAUUUGGAUGCAUGGGCCUUUGUGGACGUGUGAGAGGCCCAUGAAUGGCUGAAGAAGCUUGCUGAGAUCAUGAGGAAGGCAUGUGGUCGUGCACUUGGAGUGAAGAAUGCUUGCAUUUCAAGUUUUAACAUAAAAUAUCA